UUCUUUUUCAUUCUGCAUCCCUGAUCCAGAUUCUCUUACGCGUACAGAUGUGCAGGUUAGUUUGGAACAGGGGUGGGGAAAUACACAAAGAGCAAGAAUCAGCGGAUGGUUGAGUUUUACUAAAAAAGUCUCCUGACCCAAGUUUGAGGGAAUAAACUUUGUCAUUUGCUGUUACUUAAUAGAGAUAGAUUGCUAGACAAACCCCCAAAAGACUGUUUCUUUUCUCCUGCUUACUAUUAUUCUCUUGAUGGCAGCUACCAUAAUUGCAGGAGUUUUCCCAUGAAGAAGAGAACCUAGCAAUUAAGAAAACAUUGGGUGAACAUGUGUUUUUCUCUCAUAACAGUGGGAAGAGCAUUCACGUGGGUUAGAGUUAAUGUUAAAGUUAACCAUGAAUCUCCUUCCUAUGCAAAGUCUCCAUGCUCAUAUACAUUAUAGGGAAAUCGUAAGCUCUUUUUAGAUUUGUUUGUUUAGGUUAGGAGUGGACCAAAUAGUUAUUUCAAGAAGGAGAAAAAGUUGUACAAUAGUUUAUUGAGCUUGCUUUAUAAUAAUUACUAUAAGGGUUAUAUAAAUAUGUAUGAAUAUAUUAAUCAACACACAACACCCUCAAAAGUCAUAGAGCCAAUACGUGGCUGGGAAGGGCCUUCUGUCUAUAUCUCUGGCCCUUCCCACUAAAUUCCAGUGUGAGGAAUGGUUUGUGGGUUAUAGUUCCUCAGCCUCUGAGCUGGGCCACGCCAGGCCCUCCAGGUUGACAGCACAGCCGGGUAGCUAGAUCCUCGUAGCGCAGUUUGAAUUAAUGGGGGGAUCAGCAAGUUGGACAGCAAUAUUUCUAACAUAUUUGGAAAAUGUCAUUAGAAUAAAAUAAACCUUUGCUGAUUUUUCCACAUGACCUAAAAGGUCUGAUUAUUAUUCUGCCCUCUUCUCCCUAUUUCAUCCUAGCACUGUAAAACCAAGUCAAUAUUGACCUUCAAUUCUAUGUCUGGUGCCCUGAAGCUUGUGCAUUAAUAAAGCACAGAGAGAGGAGUUAUUGUUGCCAGUUUAUUUUUCAGUCUCGAAGACAGUAAUAGGACCAGGAUGUCCUCUUAGAGAGGAGGAAAAAACUUACUAAAGGUCAAAAAUAUUUUGAGUACUCCCUAAACGCUUUCAGGAGUCAAAGUACCUGCAAAAGGCUAUCAGGCUUGCUUCCACUGAAAGUCAUGUAUUAGCAAGGGAAUCUGGCACUUGUCUAUGGAGGUCAUCGAGUUCUGUCAUAUGGCUUCUUCAUCAAAAGCAUGCCUAUGAUUCCUCACCAGCACAGGUUCUCUUUCUAAAGGUAUUUCCUUUGAUGUCGCCACUCCUACUAUCCACAACUUGUUUCAGUUUUAUAGCUUCUAUUCUCUGUCAUUUUUUUUUGCAUAGUGGCAAAGGAAAUCUUAAUUGCUCUGAAUUUAGAGCCAGUCCUUAGACUGCUAGAUUAAUUCAUGUAUCAGUUCAACAAUUCAUUCAGGAAACAUUGAUUAAAACCACACUUGUGUUAUAUGCUGUGCAUAUAUGUGUAUGUACACUGUGAUAAGCAUGCAAAAAUUGAAAAACACACUUUGGAAAUAGGUAAUAGUGACAAUUGCACAAUAUUGUUAAUGUAAUUAAUGCCACUGAAUUGUAUAUUUGAAAAGGAAAAGCUUGUGUUACAUAUAUUUUACUGCAAUAAGAAAAAUAUUAUGCCAAAAAAAGUGAAUAAGACAAUCCUGGUCCUCACAGUGCCCACAGUCUAUUAGGAAAUACUGACAAUAAAGACACCCACACAAUAAAAUGUCGGUGAGAAGACAGAAGUAGGUAAAGGGCACAGUAAGUGCAAAGAAGGAAGCCAUGAACCAAAUUUAACUUUUUAUUUGUUUUUGUUUUGUUUUUUAGUUGUUGGUGCUGAUUAGGAAGGUCUUUGGAUGUGAAGCCUCAAAGAUGAGCAAUUCUUCUCUCCCCCAAAUGCAAUGGUACAGGCAAUAACAUUUGAAUGACAGUAGAGACCUUGCGUAGUUUAGUCCUAAGUCUAGCAUUUCUUUCUACCAUCAUUAAUUUUUCCUAUCCAGGACAGAGAUGAAGAUGAGACCAAAGAGCCAGCUAGAGCGCACAAUUUAAGGAGCAUUCCUUCUCAGGGACAGGCUGAAUGCACUUGCAUGGUCACUUGCAUAACCUUGAAAAAGCUUCUAUAUUUUUCUCUGUAUCAUUGCUUUGAAGCAAUUUGAUUAAGAUGUGCAGAGGUGAAAUUUGCCACGAGGGAGACCUGAAAAGAGGCUGUACAUGGUGAAGUCCACAUGUGACAGAGGGAAGGUGACAGCAAUCAAGUAGAAAUGAGAUGAUAAAUGCUGCCAGCAAUUAUUUGGGACAAGAGCUAGCAUGAGAAUAGGAAGGAAAUGGAAAAUUGAAAAACAAAAAUGAAGAAGAAUUUUUCCCCCUCCUGAGAACAUAGAAAAGGUUGAAGGGAAAGUGAAAGUUUAUGAAUGCACUGAUGAACACUGUGGGCAAAAAGUUUGUCAACAGUGUGCUUCGAGUGGAACUGAAAACACAGAAUGGACUUCAGAUUUGUGAAACUCCUAGAAUAGCAGCUGAUGAAGAAGAGAGGGAAUUUAAAAAGUCCAAAUUUAUGGCAUGCAACAGAUAUACAGGCUGAGAGAGGUGAAGAAGCUGAAGAAGAAAAGUUUGAAGCUGUCACAGGUUGGUGGAUGAAGUUUAAGAAAAGAAGGCAUCUCCAUAGCAAAAAAGUUUAAGGUGAAGUUAGCAAGUGCUGGUGUGGAUGCUGUGGUGAGUCAUCUGGAAGAUCCAGUUAAAAUAACUGAUAAAGGAUGCUGUACUAAAUAACAGAUUUUUAUCAUAAACAAAACUAUCUUAUAUUGGAAGAAAAUGCUAUCUAGGA